AGUCGCAGAUACCAGCUGGCUGCAACUGUUUAAUAAAAACACAGCACUGUGCAAACACGAAAGUGGACGUAUACAGUGUGACGCCUGCCCGGUGCUGGAAGGUUAAUUGAUGGGGUCAGCCGCAAGGCGAAGCUCUUGAUCGAAGCCCCAGUAAACGGCGGCCGUAACUAUAACGGUCCUAAGGUAGCGAAAUUCCUUGUCG
rnacentral:rRNA from 1 species